CUUUUCAAAGCUAUAGGCUUUGAAAGGCAUAGACAUUUAAUAUAUUUGUCUUCAAUAUUAACUUAUUUAAUUUAAUCAGUAAAACAAGAUAUUUAAUUUAUAGUACUCCAAUAUGUAUUAUACGUGCAUAUACCUUAUCUAGCCCCAGAAAGAAUUUUAUUCACUGUCCUAGUUCAUUCAUUCAUUUAUCAAAAAUGUAUUAACUGCCUACCAUACACCAGGCUCUGUUCUAGAUGCAUUCAGUGGUGAAUGAAACAGGUGAAAAGUCCUGCCUUCAUAUUCUCAUUGAGGAGCUCAGACAAUAAAUAGGGGGAAAGAGUAAAAUAUAGAUUGUGUUAGAGAGUUGCAUGUGCUUUAAAAAAUAGAGAAAUGGAUAAGAGUAUUGAAGGGGUGCAAUUUACAUAGGAUGUUACAGGACAACUUGAUUUAAAAUGUGACAUAUGGAGAGAGAAACUAUGUGGCUAUAAGGGACAGGGGUAGUCAGCAGAAAAAACAGCAUGGGCAAAGGCCUUGAAGUGGAACCUUCCGGCAAGUUCAAGGAACAGUAGUCAGGUAUGGCUGAAAGAGAAAAAAAUGAAGUCACCAUAUUCUCUAUUCUCUCUUUCUCCCCCUCUUCCUCUCUCUACCUCUUCCCUGUCUCUCCCUCUUUCUCUUGUCUAAGUUUUCAAUAAUGGUCCAGGAUAAAAACCUGCAAGCCAAUUGCCAUGGCCACUGGUUGCAGAAGCUAUGCAGGGAAAGGUCAGGCAGAGGAGCAACUUAGUGUCUGGGCUUGGGCCCUGGCCCCACAUCUCCAUCAAAUUCUUGUUUAGUGGGACCACAAGAACACAUCGACCUCCUCUUGCCUGGGCGAUAGGCUGAAAGCAGAACCAAUCCUUCUUGAUUCCCCUUAUUCUAGGCCUUCCCAGGGAUGCUCAUCUUUUAAUACAGCCUGCUCCUAAGCAUUAGGGUAAGAAACCCCAGGAGAAGGAGGGAAAGGAUGACAUCAAAGCUACCAUCCCUGCAAAACCUCACUCCCCAAUUCAGGGGACUGAGGGAGUGUGGGUGUGGGUGUGGGGGUGGGCAUGCACAUGCACAUGAAGGAAGAGAAAAGAAAAAGAGCCAACCUGCCUUCCCUCCGGAAUCCCGGCAUCGCCUCCCUUCUUAAUCCUUCUCUUUAUUAAUCCUAUGGGCUUAACAGGAAAGCUCAUAUCUAAUUCAUGCCCCUUCUGCCUCCAUUUUGCCUCCCUCACAUCUUGGAGAGUUUUUGAAAAUUCCUUUGUGUAGCUUCAGCAAACUUUGACACUACCACCAAUGAGAAGGCGGUUCAGUUCCUCCAAGUCUUUUAUGAAUGUCUCUUUGCUUUGCCUGCAGAAGUCACUAAACUAGAUAAGAACAGCACAGUACUCCAGGUCAUCAGUGAACACUAGGUGAAGAAGUCCCUCACCUCAUUUAUCAGAGCAAAUGAGCAAAGAAGAGAGAUACUGUCAUCCAGAGCCUAUUAACAACUCCAAUCAGCCACAGGUAUCCGGACUCAGGUGGAGGAGUAAGAGUCACUCAAACAGCUCUUGCACUUCUUUCUCUCCUCCGGGCCUUUCUCCAUCACUGCCUCAUCAGGAGCACUUAGCCAGAUCUGUCAUCACCAUCCUUGUUUGAGUCUCUUCGGAACUACUAUUUAAAUCAAAACUUCUCAUUUUGAGGUCAUUUUCAUAGAUUUAUAUGUGGUUGCAAGAAAUAAUACAAAGAGAUCCCUUGUAGCCUUUACCAAAUUUCCCCUGAUGUUAACAUCUUACAAAACUGUAAACAAUAUAUUGUCAAUAAUGUAAUCAGGAGGAGAAGAUCUCCAUCACCAGGAGCCUCCAGUGGGACCCCCUUGUGGCCACAUCCACUUAUCUCCUGUCCCUUACCCUCCUUUAUCCUGGCAACCACUAUUCUGCACUUCCUAUAAUUUUAGCAAUUCAAAAAUAUAAGUGGAAUUAUAUCAGAAAAAAAAUUGGGGGAAUUGGCUUUUUCCUAUCAAGAUAAAGUUUCAUCUAGGAUAUGUAUCAAUAGGUGGUUCCUUUUUAUUGCUGAGUACUAUUUCAUGAAUGAAAGUACCACAGUUUAUUCACCCCUUGAAGACACCUGAGUUGUUUUCAGUUUUGGGCUACUGUGAAUUUCCUGACACCAUAUGAGGCUGCUAUGAACAUUCAUAUUCUCUGG
rnacentral:lncRNA from 1 species